UCUAAGAUAAAAAGGAAAGCUGAACCCUAAAAACCCUAGUCAGGAAUCGAUAUAUUUUUGUUAGAAUAGCAUCAGCAGCAGCAGCAGCAGCAGCAGGAGCAGCAGGCCUAAACGAUCAACCAACCAGAAAAGAGAAACAAGAUGGUUUCAGGGUCAGGGAUCUGCGCCAAGAGAGUGGUUGUGGAUGCAAGGCAUCACAUGCUAGGAAGGUUGGCUUCCAUUUUGGCCAAGGAGUUGUUGAAUGGCCAAAAAGUAGUGGUUGUUCGAUGCGAAGAGAUUUGUAUGUCGGGUGGUUUAGUGAGGCAGAAGAUGAAGUACAUGAGGUUCUUGAGGAAGCGGAUGAACACUAAGCCUUCUCAUGGCCCCAUUCAUUUUCGUGCUCCUGCUAAGAUCCUCUGGCGUACCAUUCGUGGCAUGAUUCCCCACAAGACCAAGCGUGGGGCAGCUGCUCUUGCUCGAUUGAAGGCUUAUGAGGGGAUUCCAGCUCCUUAUGAUAAGACAAAGAGGAUGGUUAUUCCUGAUGCUCUCAAGGUUUUGAGGCUUCAGAAAGGACACAAGUACUGCUUGUUGGGCAAGCUUUCCUCUGAGGUUGGAUGGAACCAUUAUGACACCAUCAAGGAGCUUGAGAGGAAGAGGAAGGAAAGAGCUCAAGUGGCAUAUGAGAGAAGAAAGCAACUCACUAAACUUAGGGUUAAAGCCGAGAAGGUUGCUGAGGAGAAGCUUGGGGCCCAGUUGGAAGUUAUUGCUCCUAUCAAAUAUUGAUUCAAAGAUGAUUGAAACAUUCCGGUUACGUUUCAGUGCACUUCCAUAAUGUCUUUUUGAGUUGCUCAUAAUUUUAUUCCCCCAAUCGUUUCAGGUUGGUCAUUUUGGCGUCCGAUUUCACCUGCAUGAUAUAAUGUGUUGUUUGCCGUUAUACCGUUAAUAUCUUGUCAGAGAAUGGUCCAGUAAUUUACCAAUUUGACCAAACGGCUUAUCCGUUGAAUACUUCUGUCAUCGGUUUCCUAGUUUCGCAUCCGAUUGCAACACGGUUGACGUUACAUACAUGUUAGGUUAUUUUCAGCCAUGGAUCAGUCUUUAGUUCUUAUUUAUAAGGUGGGAAUUAUGCCAUCAAAUUGUAGAUGUACUUGAUGGGUUUUGCCAAAGUCUUAAUGGUGAUCGAAGUGUUGAAUCUCAAUUGAGUUAAUGUGCUCAGAAAAUUAAGGUCUCUAAUGGAAUUCAUCUGAAAUUUACUUA